CUUCCCUACCUCCCGCACCUAUUCUUUCAUUCUCCACAAUCGCCGCCACCCUCUCCAAUUGAAGAUGUCAUCACUAAAUCCAAGCUUCUAUCGAGGUCGACCUUCUUAAUUUCUUAGAUUUAACGGAAGGAAACCCUAACUCUCCCUGCUUUGCGAUUUUUCGAUUCACUUUCCAGGUGUUUGGUGUUUAAUACAACUUGUUGAAGGUGUUUGACAUUAUAUUUCAAGGUAAAGCUAUGACAACUGGAUAAUGCACAGAAGAUGUUCGAUAGAAUGCAUAAGAGAUGUUUCAAGCCAAAUUCUCGGAAAAAAGGAAGGUGGUGGUGGCCGCACCGGUGGUUGGUGGUGGCAGUGGUUAGUGGUGAUCUGUGGUAGUUGCGGUGGUAGAGUUUGGGAUUGAUUCUUUAAAUAUGUGAAUUAAUGUAUAAUUGACUGUAUUAAGUUGUGAAUUUUAUGUAUUAAAUAGAAAAUGUAUUGCAUGUUAAAAUAUAAAUGAACGUACACAUGAAAAUAUUAGACU